CAAACAUCAAUUUAAGUAUCCUGUGGAGUAUGGUCUAGUCUGCAGUUUGGUUCCAAUAGUUAUGAUUCUUGCUCUACUGAACAGCAUGAGAAGAAAUACUAUAUACCGUGAAGAACAGGCUAGGAGGCUGGGGGUAUCUUUUAAAGUGAGGUUUUAAACUUGAAGGAUGCGCCCUUGGGCAUCUUACUGCAGAAUCAGAGGGAUUUGACCCGCCUACAUGGGCUGUGACUGUGAGUGUUGCACUCCAUACCGCUCCCUCCCUGCAUGCUCCAGCCUCCUAUCUGUCGUGGCAGUUUUUCUUUACCGCCUAGUCGAGAGGUGUGGAAGUGUUGGAGCACUUGAACAGGACAGAAAAACUGGUUGAAAGAGGUAUUUUUUUGCACAAAAUGGAAAAGGGACUUAGUCUGUAUUUGUUUGGUGUCCUGAACUUAAGAAAGCUCAGUGGUAUUAUGUGAGAGAAGCGGGGAGAGAGUGGAUAAAAAGAAGAAGGAAGAUGGCCAGAGAGGGAACAGCUGAUGCUGUGUGCUAGUCCCUUUUGCGAUGGGACCCAAACUCAGACUCCCCUUGCUGCAGAGCCUUGGCUGUCUGGAUCAUCCUGCGGGCUGUCACCGUCGGCAUGUCAGCCAGUCACACAGCUACGAAUAGAGCCGCGUGCUUCUUGCUCACUAACAAUCAGUGGCACCAUAUUUAGCAAGGUGUAGCGUGCCCACCAUUCCCAGGUAUCGCAGCGUACUGUACCGCAUUCAAGCAGCUGCAGCCCAGGCACUAAGUGAAUCGGUUUGCCAAAGGUCUGGAAACCCAAGUGGUUUGUGGACAUCGGGGUCGGCAGUCUGAACGAUGCUGCAUAUACCGGUUGGCAGUGACUCGAAAGCGUCUGUCUGCUUUCGGUCGUAAACAUCUGUCUGCUUUUUAUUCCUUCUUUUUUUUUUAAAUUCUAAAAUAAAAAAUUUGGAAUCUCGUGUAUUUUAAUUAAA
rnacentral:lncRNA from 1 species